rnacentral:rRNA from 1 species
UACGUAGGGUGCAAGCGUUAAUCGGAAUUACUGGGCGUAAAGCGUGCGCAGGCGGUUGUGCAAGACCGAUGUGAAAUCCCCGGGCUCAACCUGGGAAUGGCAUUGGUGACUGUACGGCUAGAGUGUGUCAGAGGGGGGUAGAAUUCCACGUGUAGCAGUGAAAUGCGUAGAGAUGUGGAGGAAUACCGAUGGCGAAGGCAGCCCCCCUGGGAUAACGACUGACG